AGAGUUUGAUCCUGGCUCAGGACGAACGCUGGCGGCGUGCCUAAUACAUGCAAGUAGAACGCUGAAGGAGGAGCUUGCUUCUCUGGAUGAGUUGCGAACGGGGAGUAACGCGUAGGUAACCUGCCUGGUAGCGGGGGAUAACUAUUGGAAACGAUAGCUAAUACCGCAUAAGAGUGGAUGUUGCAUGACAUUUGCUUAAAAGGUGCACUUGCAUCACUACCAGAUGGACCUGCGUUGUAUUAGCUAGUUGGUGGGGUAACGGCUCACCAAGGCGACGAUACAUAGCCGACCUGAGAGGGUGAUCGGCCACACUGGGACUGAGACACGGCCCAAGACUCCUACGGGAGGCAGCAGUAGGGAAUCUUCGGCAAUGGACGGAAGUCUGACCGAGCAACGCCGCGUGAGUGAAGAAGGUUUUCGGAUCGUAAAGCUCUGUUGUAAGAGAAGAACGAGUGUGAGAGUGGAAAGUUCACACUGUGACGGUAUCUUACCAGAAAGGGACGGCUAACUACGGGCCAGCAGCCGCGGUAAUACGUAGGUCCCGAGCGUUGUCCGGAUUUAUUGGGCGUAAAGCGAGCGCAGGCGGUUAGAUAAGUCUGAAGUUAAAGGCUGUGGCUUAACCAUAGUAGGCUUUGGAAACUGUUUAACUUGAGUGCAAGAGGGGAGAGUGGAAUUCCAUGUGUAGCGGUGAAAUGCGUAGAUAUAUGGAGGAACACCGGUUGCGAAAGCGGCUCUCUGGCUUGUAACUGACGCUGAGGCUCGAAAGCGUGGGGAGCAAACAGGAUUAGAUACCCUGGUAGUCCACGCCUGUAAACGAUGAGUGCUAGGUGUUAGACCCUUUCCGGGGUUUAGUGCCGUAGCUAACGCAUUAAGCACUCCGCCUGGGGAGUACGACCGCAAGGUUGAAACUCAAAGGAAUUGACGGGGGCCCGCACAAGCGGUGGAGCAUGUGGUUUAAUUCGAAGCAACGCGAAGAACCUUACCAGGUCUUGACAUCCCUCUGACCGCUCUAGAGAUAGAGCUUUCCUUCGGGACAGAGGUGACAGGUGGUGCAUGGUUGUCGUCAGCUCGUGUCGUGAGAUGUUGGGUUAAGUCCCGCAACGAGCGCAACCCCUAUUGUUAGUUGCCAUCAUUUAGUUGGGCACUCUAGCGAGACUGCCGGUAAUAAACCGGAGGAAGGUGGGGAUGACGUCAAAUCAUCAUGCCCCUUAUGACCUGGGCUACUCACGUGCUACAAUGGCUGGUACAACGAGUCGCAAGCCGGUGACGGCAAGCUAAUCUCUUAAAGCCAGUCUCAGUUCGGAUUGUAGGCUGCAACUCGCCUACAUGAAGUCGGAAUCGCUAGUAAUCGCGGAUCAGCACGCCGCGGUGAAUACGUUCCCGGGCCUUGUACACACCGCCCGUCACACCACGAGAGUUUGUAACACCCGAAGUCGGUGAGGUAACCGUAAGGAGCCAGCCGCCUAAGGUGGGAUAGAUGAUUGGGGUGAAGUCGUAACAAGGUAGCCGUAUCGGAAGGUGCGGCUGGAUCCCCC
rnacentral:rRNA from 1 species